rnacentral:lncRNA from 1 species
AGAGUUUUUAUUUUUGGUUUAUGACCUGAGAAACAUUUUUUUAGUUUAAAUAAGGCCUUUAACCCUUUAUUAUACAUUUCAUGUUAGGCAUCUGUAAAUUUGCCAUUAAUACUAAAUUUGACACCCAAGUAGGUAUAAUUUUUUGUGUUUGUUAGGGGGGUAUUAUUUAAAUGAAAUUGAGUAGAAAGAAGUCUACCAGAAUUGCUUAAAAUCAUGACUUUGGAUUUAGUAAUGUUAACUUCCAGUCCCAAAUUAUUGCAAUAGAUCUGUAGUUUAUCAAGACAUUCUUGUAGACCCCUAGGAGUUUCAGAAAGCAAAAUUAGAUCAUCUGCAUACAUGAGACAAUUAAGUUUUGU